rnacentral:rRNA from 1 species
ACUCCUACGGGAGGCAGCAGUGGGGAAUAUUGGACAAUGGGCGAAAGCCUGAUCCAGCCAUGCCGCGUGUGUGAAGAAGGUCUUCGGAUUGUAAAGCACUUUAAGUUGGGAGGAAGGGCAGUUACCUAAUACGUGAUUGUUUUGACGUUACCGACAGAAUAAGCACCGGCUAACUCUGUGCCAGCAGCCGCGGUAAUACAGAGGGGUGCAAGCGUUAAUCGGAAUUACUGGGCGUAAAGCGCGCGUAGGUGGUUAGUUAAGUUGGAUGUGAAAUCCCCGGGGCUCAACCUGGGAACUGCAUUCAAAACUGACUGACUAGAGUAUGGUAGAGGGUGGUGGAAUUUCCUGUGUAGCGGUGAAAUGCGUAGAUAUAGGAAGGAACACCAGUGGCGAAGGCGACCACCUGGACUGAUACUGACACUGAGGUGCGAAAGCGUGGGGAGCAAACAGGAUUAGAUA